CCUACGGGAGGCAGCAGUGGGGAAUUUUGGACAAUGGGCGCAAGCCUGAUCCAGCAAUGCCGCGUGCAGGAUGAAGGCCUUCGGGUUGUAAACUGCUUUUGUACGGAACGAAACGGUGAGCUCUAAUACAGUUUGCUAAUGACGGUACCGUAAGAAUAAGCACCGGCUAACUACGUGCCAGCAGCCGCGGUAAUACGUAGGGUGCGAGCGUUAAUCGGAAUUACUGGGCGUAAAGCGUGCGCAGGCGGUGAUGUAAGACAGAUGUGAAAUGCCCGGGCUCAACCUGGGACCUGCAUUUGUGACUGCAUCGCUAGAGUACGGUAGAGGGGGAUGGAAUUCCGCGUGUAGCAGUGAAAUGCGUAGAUAUGCGGAGGAACACCGAUGGCGAAGGCAAUCCCCUGGACCUGUACUGACGCUCAUGCACGAAGACGUGGGAGGACAACAGGAGUAGUAUACCUACGGUAGUACGACGACCUAACCGAUAGUCACUAGGUUGUUGGUUCGUUCUACU
rnacentral:rRNA from 1 species